rnacentral:rRNA from 1 species
UUAAACCUCUUCCAGAGUAUCAAUUGGAGGGCAAGUCUGGUGCCAGCAGCCGCGGUAAUUCCAGCUCCAAUAGCGUAUAUUAAAAUUGUUGCAGUUAAAAAGCUCGUAGUUGAAUUUCUGCUGCAUUGCUUUUACUCCUUUACGAGUCUUUGCAUUGUGGCUUAUUUCGGACUUUGUUUUACAAUGUCCGGACGUUUACUUUGAGAAAAUUAGAGUGCUCAAAGCAGGCUUUCGCCUUGAAUAGUUUAGCAUGGAAUAAUAAAGUAGGACUUUGGUUCUAUUUUGUUGGUUUUAGGUACCAAAGUAAUGGUUAAUAGGAACAGUUGGGGGCAUUCGUAUUUAACUGUCAGAGGUGAAAUUCUUAGAUUUGUUAAAGACGAACUACUGCGAAAGCAUUUGCCAAGGAUGUUUUCAUUAAUCAAGAACGAAAGUUAGGGGAUCGAAGACGAUCAGAUACCGUCGUAGUCCUAACCAUAAACUAUGCCGACUAGAGAUUGGAGGUCGUCAGUUUUUACGACUCCUUCAGCACCUUGAGAGAGAUCAAAGUCUUUGGGUUCUGGGGGGAGUAUGGUCGCAAGGCUGA